AAUCUCACCACGCACCAAACCCUAAUAAAUUUUCUCUCCUCCACUCCAGUGAACGACCGCCGCCCACCUCCUUUUCUCUCUCCGUCACCCGCCAAGCUCCGGCGAGACAACCAGCGCCGCGCCAUCCUCCUCUUGCCCUUUUCCCAGCGCCACCUCCCAUCUCCUUCGCCGCUGCUCCACCCCAUCUUCAUCUCCUCCCCGUCGAGAACAAAUCGCCACCACCUCUAUCCUCUCAUCUUCCAUCUGUCUCCCGAUCCAUUUCAUACACCAAUAAUUACUCAUUUACACACCAAUAGUUAAUACUACUCGAUCACCAUCAUAUUUCAUUGUUGUGUUCUCUUAUUUGCUGGUUCGUGUUCGAGUGUGCGUUCGAACAGGGAUCCGUGAUGACUAUUGCCGAGGGAAGCCUUUACAGAGGUCAGUCACGGAGAGAGAAACCUAGAGGACGUAAUCAGGGGUUAACUCAACAGAAAAGGCAAGAAAUAAGAGAGGCUUUUGAGCUUUUUGAUACAGACAACUCUGGAACCAUUGAUGCCAAAGAGCUCAAUGUUGCUAUGAGGGCUCUGGGUUUUGAAGCAACUGAGGAGGAGAUCAAUCGAAUGAUUGCAGAAGUUGAUAAGGAUGGCAGUGGUGCAAUUGAUUUUGAUGAAUUUGUGCACAUGAUGACUGCCAAGUUUGGAGAAAGGGACACUAAAGAAGAGCUCAUGAAGGCAUUUCACAUUAUUGAUCAAGAUAAAAAUGGGAAAAUCUCUUUCGCGGACAUUCAAAGAAUCGCUGAUGAGUUGGGGGAGCGAUUUACUGACAGAGAAAUCCAGGAAAUGAUCGAAGAGGCAGAUCGUGAUCGUGAUGGAGAGGUUAACGUUGAUGACUUCAUGAGAAUGAUGAGGAGAACCAAUUUUGGGCAUUAAGGAGUAUCAUUAUUGCACCAGAUAAAUUGGAGGAUAUAUAUUUAUCAACUCUGUAAUAUAUAAUAUGGUCUUAACAGUUUCAGGACACAUGAUUAUUUUGUGGAUUAAAAUGGACUACCAGUCUGUAUUCUCUACCCAGUUAAUUAUGGAAUGCGUAUUAUCUAAUUUGUAAGCAAGCAACUACUACGUCUUGUUUGACAGAAUUGUGUAUGGGAAAAAUUGUAUGAAAUAGCAAAUAUUUAAUUCAUAUUAAAUGCUAUAGCUACAAUU